rnacentral:rRNA from 1 species
GACGGAGGGAGCAAGCGUUGUUCGGAAUUACUGGGCGUAAAGGGCGCGUAGGUUGUUAGAUAAGUCAGAAGUGAAAUCCCAGAGCUUAACUCUGGAACUGCUUUUGAAACUAUCUUUCUUGAGUUUGGUAGGGGGUGACGGAAUUCCUAGUGUAGCGGUGAAAUGCUUAGAUAUUAGGAGGAACACCGAUGGCGAAAGCGGUCACCUGGGCCACAACUGACACUGAGGCGCGAAAGCAUGGGUAGCAAACAGG